rnacentral:rRNA from 1 species
GAAUUUUGGACAAUGGGGGCAACCCUGAUCCAGCCAUCCCGCGUGUGCGAUGAAGGCCUUGGGGUUGUAAAGCACUUUUGGCAGGGAAGAAAAGGCCCUGGCUAAUACCUGGAGCUGCUGACGGUACCUGCAGACUAAGCACCGGCUACCUACGUCCCAGCAGCCGCGGUAAUACGUAGGGUGCAAGCGUUAAUCGGAAUUACUGGGGGUAAAGCGUGCGCAGGCGGUUCGGCAAGAAGGAUGUGAAAUCCCAGGGCUUAACCGUGGAACUGCAUUCUUAACUGCCGGGCUAGAGUAUGUCAGAGGGGGGGUAGAAUUCCGCGUGUAGCAGUGAAAUGUGUAGAGAUGCGGAGGAAUACCGAUGGCGAAGGCAGCCCCCUGGGAUAAUACUGACGCUCAUGCACGAAAGCGUGGGGAGCAAAC